CGAUUUUAUAUUCUCUCAGUCCGCUUGAAGGAACGCUGCAGCUGCGGUUCAAGUCAUUUUCGCCGUCCAUCGUGAUUCAGUUUACCCAAAGGAGGCAAAGGGGAAUGCAAAAGGGCAACCUGAAGGUAGCGAUAGUGAAGGACUUGGAGAAUAACAAGGAAUCAGCACGAUUUUGGAACACUAGCAAUAUCUCACAUAUGAAAUCUUCCUGUUAUGAUUCUAUAACAACAAGCACCAACGGGAACAGUGAGAUCGAGGACCAGGGGGCUGUCGAAAAUGUAAAUUCUUCAUUUUGGUAGCAGAGCUGAGUGGGAGCGGUCGAAAUGCGC